rfam:Brachypodium distachyon strain Bd21 chromosome 3, whole genome shotgun sequence.
CUAAUACUCCCUCCGUCCCAUAUUAAGAGUCGCAAUUUUUUUCUAGAUCCGCAUGUAUCUAGACGCGUUUUAGUGUAGAUACAUGUGUAUCUCGACAAAGUUGCGACACUUCAUAUGGGAUGGAAGGAGCACAUG